CCCCUUUUGCGAGGGGCGUCGGUGGCUGGAUCUGGGAGGCUUUUGCCGGAAAAGGGUUUCGACCCACUUCUCGGCUCCUCUCGAAGGCAUUAGUAGGACCCUUUGCGGCCUCGGUGUGAUAAUUGUCUACGCCGUGGGUUUAGCAUGUCAUGGGACCCGCUUCCAACCGUCUCGCAAGGGACACUUUCAAUCGAAACUUGACCUCAGAUCAGGCGGGACUACCCGCUGAACUUAAGCAUAUCAAUAAGCGGAGGAAAAGAAACUAACAAGGAUUCCCCUAGUAACUGCGAGUGAAGCGGGAAAAGCUCAAAUUUGUAAUCUGGCGGCCUUCGGUCGUCCGAGUUGUAAUCUAGAGAAGCGUCUUCCGCGC
rnacentral:rRNA from 1 species